UGCAUGAUUGGAUGCCCAUGUCAGAUGGCCCGAACAGAAAUUGUCUAACUUUUGCAGUGGUGCUGUUCACGGAUUCAUCACUAUCAUUGAACUCUUCACUUUCCUUUAUGCACUGUCAUAAAUUUCGCUUUGUUUCUUUUGAACUCCGAUUUCGGAGUUCUAAUGGAGGAGAAUGUCAUCUGCACAACGGAAACCAACAGUGUUCCGAUUGAGGAGGUGUUUCAAACCAGCAUUCUUUUCAUGGAUAGGAAACGGAAAUUGCAAGCAGAAGAAUUAGGCACACCUCCAUCAAAGCUUAAAUGGCUAAGUCGAGGCUUUGCUUCAGAGUAUACUUUUCCUGCUAAUGGUGACUCAGAUGUAAUAGAUAAAGGGGAGUUAAAUGGAAUGUCAACUGCUGAGGAGUCAGAACAAGAGUCUGCCAACGAUAGUAACAGUAUUGCUGCCGAUGCUGACUCGAGCAUUUCUGUGUCUAAUGAAACUGAAGUAGGAGCUGGUCAUGGAUAUUUCAAAGAAUAUUCAUCUGACAAGCCUAUAAAUUCUUCUGUUACCUGUGGAGGCAAUUGUUCUAAGCAUGCCCAAAAUUCUUCCAAGAGCAGUUUCAUAAUGAAAUCAAGUUCCCAUAUUCUGGAAUCGCCAUCUGCUGGCAAAAAGCAUGAUUUUCUCUAUCAUGAUAUAGGCCUGAAGUCAUCCCUGAAUUAUGAGGAGCACCUCCUGGAAUUUGGAAGUCACAGCAAUUGCAGCUGUCUAGAAUGCAGAGCUAGUUUUGAAGGAUACACAGACAAGGAACUUGAAGAAAUGCUUUAUUCUAAUGGAGCGACUCCAAAUAAUUAUGUUCUUUCUUCUGAAAGAUGGACUCUCAACCAAGAUACUCAACAAGGCGCCAAGAAAUUAACCAUUGAUAAAGAGUUCGAGCAGUACUUUUCCAUGCUUAUGCUGUGAUCCAGUUCUUUUGAACAUGAGCAGUUUAUGUACAUUAUUUAAUAAUUGAUGUUUAGGAGACAAAUUUGGGGUUGACAACUUAUGGUGGAAUUGCAAGUUUUAGUUACUUACUGGUGCAUGUGCUGUGAAUUGCAGAUAUAGCUUAAAAAAAUUGUGUUUUUCUCACUAUCAAUUUUAGCUUUUUCGGAGAUGAAUAUUCUUCUGAGCCAGGUACUUUCUAUAUCUUUUUCUUCCUUUUCUUUUUGCAUCUUUUUUCAUGAUAAGCCAAUCACACUUAUUGUCUUCCAACAGACUCGUAUGUUUUAUUUUUCACGGGCCCCCAUGCUAAUUAAUGGUGUUGAUGUUCUUUGAACAGAUGAGAAUAUUUCAAUACUUUUUUACUUGCAAUUCCUUUCUUGCAGAGAUUGACAAAACAAUGAGGUAAUCCAAUAAGAAGUUCAUUUAGUAUUUGGCAGUAGGGUAACUUUUGAUUCAUUGACAAUAUUUUUUAGUCAGCCUCAUAGCUUUAAAUCAGUGUUAGUAUUGUCGCUCUAAUGCAGAAUUUCAUAAACCAUUGAAUUUCUGGAACAGCUUCAACUACAAUACUAAUAAGAGUUCCAAACUUUUUUGCAUGAGAAGAUGGUUCAUCUCCAAUGAAAUAGAACCUUAAGAUGAAGACAUGAAAUGACAUAGAAAUGUUCUCAGUUCACCCCUGGUAGAGACGUGCUUCAGACUUCAGCAAUACUUGUUUCAGAAGCACAAAUUAAUUUACAGCAUGAAAACGGAUCCUUGCAGUAGGGAGCUUGACAAAUGACACGGAAUGAUUCUAAACCCUAAUGUAUCCUAUGACUUGGUUUAUUGCACAGCUUUCGUAGCUGGCUAACGAAAAUAACAUGCAGUUGAAAGGCAUUGUCUCAUAAUUGAACAAAUGAAGCAAAUUUAUGGGGCAGAAAGUACAACAAAAACACUCAAGGAAAAUUGU